rnacentral:rRNA from 1 species
CGUAUCACUUAAAGCGAUUCAGCGGGUUACGAUUGACGGAGCGAAGCGACGUCAAAGCGUAUACAAAGUCGAGUCGGUUUAAGGAUACGUUCGUUGGGUAGGGGAGCGUUCUGUAAGCCUGCGAAGGUGGCCUGUGAGGGUUGCUGGAGGUAUCAGAAGUGCGAAUGCUGACAUAAGUAACGAUAAAGCGGGUGAAAAGCCCGCUCGCCGGAAGACCAAGGGUUCCUGUCCAACGUUAAUCGGGGCAGGGUGAGUCGACCCCUAAGGCGAGGCCGAAAGGCGUAGUCGAUGGGAAACGGGUUAAUAUUCCCGUACUUGGUGUUACUGCGAAGGGGGGACGGAGAAGGCUAUGUUGGCCGGGCGACGGUUGUCCCGGUUUAAGCGUGUAGGCUGGUUUUCCAGGCAAAUCCGGAAAAUCAAGGCUGAGGCGUGACGACGAGGCACUACGGUGCUGAAGCAACAAAUGCCCUGCUUCCAGGAAAAGCCUCUAAGCAUCAGGUAACACGAAAUCGUACCCCAAACCGACACAGGUGGUCAGGUAGAGAAUACCAAGGCGCUUGAGAGAACUCGGGUGAAGGAACUAGGCAAAAUGGUGCCGUAACUUCGGGAGAAGGCACGCUGACACGUAGGUGAAGUGAUUUACUCAUGGAGCUGAAGUCAGUCGAAGAUACCAGCUGGCUGCAACUGUUUAUUAAAAACACAGCACUGUGCAAACACGAAAGUGGACGUAUACGGUGUGACGCCUGCCCGGUGCCGGAAGGUUAAUUGAUGGGGUCAGCGCAAGCGAAGCUCCUGAUCGAAGCCCCGGUAAACGGCGGCCGUAACUAUAACGGUCCUAAGGUAGCGAAAUUCCUUGUCGGGUAAGUUCCGACCUGCACGAAUGGCGUAAUGAUGGCCAGGCUGUCUCCACCCGAGACUCAGUGAAAUUGAACUCGCUGUGAAGAUGCAGUGUACCCGCGGCAAGACGGAAAGACCCCGUGAACCUUUACUAUAGCUUGACACUGAACAUUGAGCCUUGAUGUGUAGGAUAGGUGGGAGGCUUUGAAGUGUGGACGCCAGUCUGCAUGGAGCCGACCUUGAAAUACCACCCUUUAAUGUUUGAUGUUCUAACGUGGACCCGUAAUCCGGGUUGCGGACAGUGUCUGGUGGGUAGUUUGACUGGGGCGGUCUCCUCCUAAAGAGUAACGGAGGAGCACGAAGGUUGGCUAAUCCUGGUCGGACAUCAGGAGGUUAGUGCAAUGGCAUAAGCCAGCUUGACUGCGAGCGUGACGGCGCGAGCAGGUGCGAAAGCAGGUCAUAGUGAUCCGGUGGUUCUGAAUGGAAGGGCCAUCGCUCAACGGAUAAAAGGUACUCCGGGGAUAACAGGCUGAUACCGCCCAAGAGUUCAUAUCGACGGCGGUGUUUGGCACCUCGAUGUCGGCUCAUCACAUCCUGGGGCUGAAGUAGGUCCCAAGGGUAUGGCUGUUCGCCAUUUAAAGUGGUACGCGAGCUGGGUUUAGAACGUCGUGAGACAGUUCGGUCCCUAUCUGCCGUGGGCGCUGGAGAACUGAGGGGGGCUGCUCCUAGUACGAGAGGACCGGAGUGGACGCAUCACUGGUGUUCGGGUUGUCAUGCCAAUGGCACUGCCCGGUAGCUAAAUGCGGAAGAGAUAAGUGCUGAAAGCAUCUAAGCACGAAACUUGCCCCGAGAUGAGUUCUCCCUGAGACUUAGAGUCUCCUGAAGGAACGUUGAAGACGACGACGUUGAUAGGCCGGGUGUGUAAGCGCAGCGAUGCGUUGAGCUAACCGGUACUAAUGAACCGUGAGGCUUAACCUU